GAUGAACGCUGGCGGCGUGCCUAAUACAUGCCAGUCGAGCGAACAGACGAGGAGCUUGCUCCUCUGACGUUAGCGGCGGACGGGUGAGUAACACGUGGAUAACCUACCUAUAAGACUGGGAUAACUUCGGGAAACCGGAGCUAAUACCGGAUAAUAUAUUGAACCGCAUGGUUCAAUAGUGAAAGACGGUUUUGCUGUCACUUAUAGAUGGAUCCGCGCCGCAUUAGCUAGUUGGUAAGGUAACGGCUUACCAAGGCAACGAUGCGUAGCCGACCUGAGAGGGUGAUCGGCCACACUGGAACUGAGACACGGUCCAGACUCCUACGGGAGGCAGCAGUAGGGAAUCUUCCGCAAUGGGCGAAAGCUUGACGGAGCAACGCCGCGUGAGUGAUGAAGGUCUUCGGAUCGUAAAACUCUGUUAUUAGGGAAGAACAAAUGUGUAAGUAACUAUGCACGUCUCGACGGUACCUAAUCAGAAAGCCACGGCUAACUACGUG
rnacentral:rRNA from 1 species